AGAGAAAAUGACAUCUCCUGAAAUAGCUCGCUUGCAAGAGCGUGUGUUCCUGGGACUACAGGGAAGAAAAGAACAUUCACCCCAGAAACAGGAAUUCCCACAGGAAUUGAGAUAGCAGACCAGACAGGGAGACGCAGGUCCCUUUGGAGCAGGAGGUUGACUUGACCAAAGAGAAAAGGUCUCACAACCCUAUGGAAACUUCUUCCUGCCAUGAAGCUCCAGCUCUGGUACAUGGGUCAUAGGACUGUCUUCUGGGCACGCCGAGCGCUGCAACAUCCAACAACACAUAGAAGGGCUUAUUGGACAAAAUGCUGCCUCUGUCUCCCACAACUGGCCUUGACAUAAAACCAGCAUGAAAUAGGACUCUAUAAUUGACUGCAUUCACAUCUCCUCUGUAGUCUGAACUGAGGUGUUCAGUGGAUGAUUCACAUCUGUCAAAGAGCAUCUAGAGAGAUGGAGUUCAGUCGUUACACAAACAAGAAGCAAGUAUUUUUGCACAGAUUCAAAUCUUAUAUUUAUUUCCAUUUUAAUUGAAGUGUUUCUUGCUUAUGUAAUGCAUUUUUUUUUUAGCUUGAAGGAGUUACUUUGUAAAAGUCAACUUUUGUUUCAAAAAUUCAUCAAGUGAAUCUGAAACUGGGUCAAACUUCAGCAUUAGUGUUGGUUUUUAUGCCUUCUUGCGAUGAGAUUAUUCAGUUUAUAUGAGUUCUGGUGGCACACUGGGCUUGGUGCUUCUGCCACAAAUGUUAGGACAUUCCUGGUGUACAAAAUGUUGCCCUGCUCCUGCUUUCCCCAAGCAGUUCCCCAGUGUGGGAAAUGGCCCCUGGCCAUGGUAGAAGCUAUUGAGGAAAAUACCAUAGUAUGUUGUGAUGUCAGUACUUAAGAUAUCUCAGUCUGGGGACGUCAGCUCAUUUAAAAGGGUUUGGGGUAACUGCCUCCAAAAGCCUGGGCUUCUGUUCCUUUCCCUCACCUUGCAACAGGACCUCUGUUCCCUGUGUGGAUUCCCUUACAGGGAAAUACAGCCACUGCAGAUGCUCGGAUGAGGAUGGCUCUUGUGUAUGCAGGUCACUGCUCAUUUAGACUACAUUUUCUAAAAUGUUGUUUUGGGAAUAUUUGACCUUUGGGUGAAAGACAAUUGGAUUAACUGCUUUCAGAUGUAUUGUGUGCCCAACUCCUCUAGCACAAAAAACGUUAACCCCCUACUCCCCGAGCUUUGGCAAAAUGAUCAAUUAUUGCUAAGAGUUUUCAAAGGACACGCAGUGCCACGUAAGGUCAUUCUCAAUAAAUGUGUUUU
rnacentral:lncRNA from 7 species